rnacentral:rRNA from 1 species
GACGAACGCUGGCGGCAGGCCUAACACAUGCAAGUCGAGCGGAGCGGCGGACGGGUGAGUAAUGCCUAGGAAUCUGCCUGGUCGUGGGGGAUAACGUCCGGAAACGGGCGCUAAUACCGCAUACUAUCAGAUUGGCCUAGGUCGGAUUAGCUAGGUGGUGGGGUAAAGGCCUACCAAGGCGACGAUCCGUAACUGGUCUGAGAGGAGGAUCGGUCACACUGGAACUGAGACACGGUCCAGACUCCUACGGGAGGAAGCAGUGGGGAAUAGUGGACAAGGGGCGAAAGCCUGAUCCAGCCAGGCAGCGUGUGUGAAGAAGGUCUUCGGAUUGUAAAGCACUUUAAGUUGGGAGGCGUUACCAACAGAAUAAGCACCGGCUAACUUCGUGCCAGUAGCCGCGGUAAUAC